GAGUUUGAUCUUGGCUCAGAUUGAACGCUGGCGGCAUGCCUUACACAUGCAAGUCGAACGGCAGCACGGGAGCUUGCUCCUGGUGGCGAGUGGCGAACGGGUGAGUAAUGCAUCGGAACGUAUCCUGGAGUGGGGGAUAACGUAGCGAAAGUUACGCUAAUACCGCAUAUUCUGUGAGCAGGAAAGCGGGGGACCUUCGGGCCUCGCGCUCUUGGAGCGGCCGAUGUCGGAUUAGCUAGUUGGUGAGGUAAAGGCUCACCAAGGUGACGAUCCGUAGCAGGUCUGAGAGGAUGAUCUGCCACACUGGAACUGAGACACGGUCCAGACUCCUACGGGAGGCAGCAGUGGGAAUUUUGGACAAUGGGGGCAACCCUGAUCCAGCCAUGCCGCGUGAGUGAAGAAGGCCU
rnacentral:rRNA from 1 species